rnacentral:lncRNA from 1 species
CUUCUUUAGAUAAAACUGUAUUUUCACUAUUUUUUAAAUUUAUUAUUUAAUUAUUUCUUAUUAUAUUAACUAGACUUCCUAAAAUAUAUGGGACUCCUAAAAUAUAUGGUAGGAGUAUUAAUUAAUAUUUUUCUUUCUACUGUUCAAGUAGAAAAAUACACCUAAAAUAUGACUACUUUAUUAUUUAAUUAUUUUUUAUUAUAUUAACUAGACUUCUAAAAUAUAUGGUAGGAGAAUUAAUUAAUAUUUUCCUUUCUACUCGAUUUUCGUAGGAGAAUUAAUUAAUAAUUUUCUUUCUAUUGUUUGAUUAGAAAAAUACUCAUAAAAUAGGACUCUAUUAAGAAAAUACUCUAUAAAUAUUAAUUAUUUUAUUAUUUUACUUUAAUUUACAGAUGUUAGAUAAAUGUGGGUCGGCUUUGAAUUUUUUUUACAUAAAUGUUAGGUUAAUUGUAUUAUCGUAAUAUCUAUAUUAAUUUGUUAUUUUAUGAUAGUUUACAGUUUGUAGAUGAAUCUCGAUUGGUUUUUAGAAAUUUUUAUGUGUAAAAUUUAAGUUUAAUUGUAUUAUUUUUAUAUCACUUUUAUCGUAUUAUUUUGUUGCAAUUUAUAGGUGAUAGAUAAAUGUUGGUCCGCUUUGAGAAUUUUUUUAUGUAAAAGUUAGGUUUAGUUGUAUUAUUUUGAUAUCUCUAUUAUUGUAUUACUUUGUUAUUGUUUACAGAUGUUAGGUGAGUGUCGAACGAUUUUGAAAAUUUUUUUGUGUGUAAAGAUUAGAUUUAGUUGUGUUAUUUUGAUAUCUCUAUCAUUAUAUUAUUUUGUUAUAAUUUAUAGAUGGGAGAUGAAUGUCGAUCGACUUCUAAAAAUAUUUUGGUAAAGAUUAGGUUUAAUAAAUAAAUUCUCCAUCUUUACAUACUUAAAAGAUAUUAGUUUUUUUCUUCCUUUUUUUUUUUGCUUUUUUUGUUUUCUCUUUUUUCUUUCUUUUUUCAAUUUUUUCUUUCUCGUUAUCUUUUUUCCAUUUUGUCUUUUUUUCUUCUUUUUAUUUUUCUUUUUUCUUUUUUUUUUGUUUUUGUACUGAUCAAUUGGAGAAAUAAUCCUAAAAUAGUAUAGAAAAAUACUUCUAAAACAGGAUUCCACUAAGUAAAUACUUCUAUAAAUAUUAAGAUUCACGUUAAACUAGAGAAAAAAUGAAUUUACUUAUUGGAAAAAUAUGAUAGAUGCUCAUCUAACUUGAUUCAGUUGCAUGUCUAGAUUCGUGGAUGCUUAAUUUUCUAGCCCUCAACUUCUUCACUAUUUUUGUCAACAUAAUAAAAUUCAACAUGUGUGUAUAUAUAUAUAUCUUCUUUGCUUUCAUUCAAGUCAUUCUUUAGUGUCAAAAUUUUUGCUCAGACAAGAAUUAUUUUCAUCAAAACUGAAAUUUUGUGAUCACUAUUGUAUUAUUCUGUUGUAGUUUACAGGUUGUAGAUGAAUUUACAGGUGGUAGAUGAAUAUUGGUCAGCUUUGAGAGGUUUAAUUGCAUUGUUUUUAUAUCUCUGUUUUGCAAAUUUUUUUGUGUAAAGAUAAAGUUUAGCUGUAUUAUUUUGAUAUCUCUAUUGUCAUAUUAUUUUGUUAUAGUUUAAAGGUGAUAGACGAGUGUCGGACGGCUUUGAAUUUUUUUGUGUGUAAAGGUUAGAUUUAAUUAUAUUGUUUUGAUGUCUCUACCAUCUUAUUGUUUUGUUGUUGUUUAUAGGUGGUAGAUGAAUGUCGAUCGGCUUUGAGAAAUUCUUUUGGUAAAGGCUAGGUUUAAUUAAAUCAAUUCUCCAAAAGAUGUUAAAUUUAAUUAUUGUAUUUAUCUUUAUUAUUUAAACAAAUUUGAACUCGAUAAAGUGAGGUACACUAAACUAGUUUUAUAAUACAUGGUAACCCACUUUUACUAAUAUUAUUUACAACAGUGGCUUUUAUGGCUUUGAUUAUUUUUUUGAGAUAAGCAUCCAGUAUUGCCUCGAACUAUGGUCAAAGUUGUUACGACACACUCCAACUUCACAGAGAUCCUAUUACCCCUGAACUCAAUUUUAGCAUAUUUUUGUCACUCUUUUAUGCUGAUGUAGCACGUUUAUUAUAUAAAAGCGGCUCCACGUCAAAGAUGCCACGUCGGCUAAAAAGAUUGACAAAAGAUGUUAUGGCAGCACAAAAGAGUGACAAAAAUAUGCUAUAACUGAGUUCAGGGGUAAUAGGAUCCCCUGAAUUUGGAGUGUGUCGUAGCAAAUUUGGUCAUAGUUUAGGAGUAGUAGAUGCUUUACUCUAUUUUUUGAAAAAACUUGGUUUGAAUUUAGAUGCAACCUAUUUAGAAGAAGAAAGAAGUAUACAAAGACUUAUGUUGUCAAAAAAUUUUCUUUGGAAGGUAACUUUUGUUCUUGUUUGAAAGAACUACAAUGCUUUAUUUAUAACUCUUAGCAAAUGGUCUAGCUCUGCCUCUGCAAGGGGGUGUAAUAUAGAAGACCUACCCUUAUGCAAGCCGAUUCUAUGGCCCCAUUCCAAUGACUUUUAGGUCACAAAGCGACACGUAUGUAAGCAGCCUACCCUAACACUGCUUCCAAUGCUCAAACCUGUGACCUAUAGAUCACAUGGAGAAUUGCAUAACUGCCACCAUCAACAACUAAUUCCACGACACAAACCUAUGACUGGCAUAUAUGUAAGCAACCUAUACGGAUGUGCAAGGAACAGUAUGACUUCGCAGCUCGAACUCGUGAGCUAUAAGUCACAUGUAAACUUUAUUGUCAGCCUAUCCUGCUGUUCAGGUACUAAUGAGUGAUUUGGAAGACUCGAGCUAACGAACAAUUGUCCUUGCUCCAAAGCCAGAGAAAAAUGAUUCUCCUAAUGUACAGAGUGUGAUGGUGCAGUAUACUUUCUUAAUUCUUACUAUUGAAAAGGGCAGCCCGUUGUGCUAAAGCUCCCGCUAUGCGCAGGGUUUGGGGAAGGGUCCCACCACAAGGGUGUAUUGUACGCAACUUUACCUUGCAUUUCUGGCAGAGGCUGUUUCCAAGGUUUGAUCUCGUAACCUCCUGGCCACAUGGCAACAACUUUAUCGGUUAAUCCAAGGCUCCCCUUCAAAAGCAGCGUCGACAAAAAUCGUUUGACUGGUGAAGGGGAAGAAUACCUUCAACUACUAGGGAUGGAUUUCAAAUAAAAAGAAAACAAUAAUAAUCAAGAGGAGUAUAGAACUAAUGUAUUCAUUUAUCCCAACUUCCCUCUUUGAGAGAACCAUAGAAAAGUACUCUUGAGCAGUUCCAUAGUCAUUUACAUUAGCAUUAGCAUUCCUUGAGUAUGAAGAAGAAUAUAUACGAGUGAAAACAAAGAAGAGACUCUCCAGGUCAAAAUUCCUAAAUGGUAUGUAGAACAAAAAGGAUUAGCGCUAUGUAUAUACUCGUAAAGCUUUACCAAUCGUUGCUUAUUCUGCUGCUGUCGAUGGUGCUUUGGCCAAACUGUUAGCAAUCAGUUCUUCUGAAGACGAAUCCUCAAACUUGGGGACAAAGCUCAUUGUGUAGUGGAACUCAAUUUGUAGGCGCUGAUGAAGGGGUGUCUAUGCCAUCAAUCCUUUCUUUACAUCAACUUGUAACUCCCUAAUAGGGAUUGCUGCCAAAAAACUCUUAAUGUACUCUUUACAUGCCUCUUUACCUAUAUAAAUGAUGUUCUUUUCAGAUACCUUGUCUUCCUGCAUACUGUCGUCGCUGUUGGUGCUCAUGAAAAUUUUGCUUUCAUCCGCAGCCUCUUUGACAUUGGUUUUCUCUUUUCUAUCGCAAGAUGGCUUAUCAUCUGAUUGUUGAGACUCACUAGGUGCUUGCAUAAUUGUUGUAUCAUGGUCGAAUUUGAUGAUAUAUGCCUGAUUACAACCCUCAAAAAGCAUCUCCCCAAGUGUGUCAAUGAUAUAGUACUCGUCUUUUUCAACCUUGAGGAUAAAGAAGUGGUCAUUCCAUCUCACAAUGUAAACACAAGAGAUGCCAUGACGAGGAGUUUCUUGAGCAGACUUAGAAAUCUCGUCCCAUAUGUUGUCAAAAGACAUGGAACCAUAAAGGAAGUGGAAUCCUUCCUCUUCUUCGAUUCCUUCGGGAUGAAAGAACCCAAUGAAUGAUUUUUCUAAGACGACUGAGAGUGGACGCACUUUAGCCUCAAGAACUGUCUCGAGGUCAAAAUGCUUAUCUGGGAAACGUUCCCUAUAGGUCUCAUUUUCACAAAGAUCCCUCCACUGCAUCGAGCCUUCACAGAUAAGAGAAUCAAGUUGGGAUUUGAUAGGCAUAUCUUCAGGAUUGCAGUGGAACGAAUCAGUUAUGACAGCAACCAAGUUUGUACAAGCGCUUUCACCAGUAGCUCGUUUACUUCGUUGAUCAAUCGAAGCAAAGAAGAUCGGAGUCUGCAGCUUUAUUUAUCCAUCACGGCUUAUUAUUUCUUUUUGCUCCCAACUACCCACAGCAAAACUUUCAUCUCAAAACUUAGAGACUGAAAUCGGAGAAGUUUCCUCAGAUUUGUGCCCCUGUAUGAACUACACACAUUAGUAAGAGGACUAGUUAUGACAUAUAUCUUCAAUCAUGAACAAGAAAACCUCAGCAGUUAGAUACUUGAUACAACUGUACAAGUAGACUAAGCUACUAAAGAAAGCUACCAAACUUUGUAUUCUUCAAUUCGGCAAGCACAUUGGUGUAUAAGUUAUUUCACGUUGAUCAGACCAUGACAAGAAGAUAAAAAAUGACUCGUCAAACAUGACAAAGAAAGCAAGAAAAAAAGAGACGUACCCUAGAAGAAGACUCGUUAGAUGAGCAAAGCUGUCGGCGAUCAAAUUCUAUAUCGUCUGCACCAUCCUCUCCAUAAUGUUUCUUCAACAAUGGCUCCCCCUUGAUUUUAGGAUAUUUGAAACUCAACUUUCUCUUCCUCCAGGCAAGAAGACUACGUUUUGAACUCUGCUCUGCAGAUUGAUUUGCUGCAGUUUUAUCCUCAAGGUACUUGUGCUUUGUGUCUGAAAUAUGAUGGCUGUAGUGGACUAAAUCCUCGUCACUGCUGCUGCUGCUUGUAUUUGAACAAAAUGAUCCACCAGCAUGGUUUGCAUAGACUGGUGCUUCAUAAUUGAAUGACUUCUGAACACUUGUAGCCUCAUUUUCUUUCUCAGAUUCUCGUACCGAAUCCAAAUCAAGUUAAUCGGUAUCCACAGGAUAAACAUAAUUGGGAUCCUCACUUCUGACUGAGUUCCUUCUAUCACUGCUGCUACCUUCCUCUGCAUGAUAUGCCUUCUUGUGUCACCUAAAGGAUAAUGCUUUUCAAAAUUUAACCUUUCGCAGACCUGCUUUUAAAGAACCACCCCCAUUUCUGUCUGUCAACAAAGCCUUUCCAGGGUUCGGAGAUACUGGAGCAGACAUGAUAAACUUCAGAAAUGUCUCUGAAGCUUCUUGAGCGUUCCUCAAUUCCACAAGGUUGAGCACUAGCUGUCAACAAAUAUAUGAACAUAUCUAUAGGAAACAGUCACAUUAGAUAAUAUAUUCAAGUAGCUGUAGGAAUACAAGAACGCAAGUAAAAAGCAUGUGUUUUAGUUUCUCUUACACAGACUGAAAGGCAAUUCUUGAAGCUGCCAACACAUACUUCCAAAGGAACGAAAAUUUCAAUGCACUCUUGUUUAUCUCCUGCUACUGAAGCAAAGUCUGCAAGAUUCAAUGUCACCGCAGAAAGUACGGGUACCUUCUGAUUUGGUCCUUUGCUUGUACCCUGAUUCAGCAGAAGUAUGAAUAAAUACAAAGAAUGGAGUAAAUGAACAAUGAAAUCGAACACAAAGACAACGUGUUCAAUGGAGAAAUUAGUGUUGAUGAAAAGCUAAAACCAAAACUAAAUGAUUAGAAGCACGAAAUAAUAGACCCAUGGAUUGGAAAACACAUGAUUAUCUUGAACGAUAGGUUCAAAGCAAUCAAAGGAACAUGCAGCUAAGGCCAAUGUUGUGCCUAUGGAAGAAGAACAAAUUGCUUCAGUCUCAAACAAGUUGAGAUAUAAGAAUUUACUAUUCCAUUUAAUCUCAGCACAUGUCAUCAUCAUACCAAAUAAAAAUACAAGCGAAAAUAAGUUAUAUAAAAAAAAUAAUUAAAACCUAUUUCCAACUAGUAGAUAUGGCCUAUAUGAGUCUUCAUACUACAUUGUGUAUGAUCUCGUGACCUCCUGGUCACAUGACAACAACUUUACCGGUUAAUCCAAGGCUCCCUUUCAAAAGGGGCAUCGAGAAAAUCGUUUGACUGGUGAAGGGGAAGAAUAAAUUCAACUACUAGGGAUGGUUUUCAAAUAAAAACAAAACAAUAAAAAUCAAGAGGAGUAUAGAACUAAUGUAUUCAUUUAUCUCAACUUCCCUCUUUGAGAGAACCAUAGAAAAGUACUUUUGAGUAGCUCCAUAGUCAUUUACAUUAGCAUUAGCAUUCCUCGAGUACGAAAAAGAAAAGACAAAGAAGAUACCGACGAUCUAGUUACACUCAUAUACGAAUGAAACAAAGAAGAGACUCUCCAUGUCAAAAUUCCUAAAUGGUAUGUAGAACAAAAAGGAUUAGCGCUAUGUAUAUACUCGUAAAGCUUUACCAAUCGUUGCUUAUUCUGCUGCUGCCGAUGGUGCUUUGGCCAAACUAUUAGCAAUCAGUUCUUCUGAAGACAACUCCUCAAACUUGGGGACAAAGCUCAUCUUGUAGUGGAACUCGAUUUGUAGGCACUGAUGAAGGGGUGUCAAUGCCAUCAAUCCUUUCUUUACAUCAUCUUGUAACUCCCUAAUAGGGAUUGCUGCCAAAAAACUCUUAAUGUACUCUUUACAUGCCUCUUUACCUAUAUAAAUGAUGUUCUUUUCAGGUACCCUAUUAAUUAAUAUUUUUCUUUCUACUGUUCAAGUAGAAAAAUACUCCUAAAAUAUGACUACUUUAUUAUUUAAUUAUUUUUUAUUAUAUUAACUAGAUUUCCUAAAAUAUAUGGUAGGAGAAUUAAUUAAUAUUUUCCUUUCUACUCGAUUUUCGUAGGAGAAUUAAUUAAUAAUUUUCUUUCUAUUGUUUGAUUAGAAAAAUACUCAUAAAAUAGGACUCUAUUAAGAAAAUACUCUAUAAAUAUUAAUUAUUUUAUUAUUUUACUUUAAUUUACAGAUGUUAGAUAAAUGUGGGUCGGCUUUGAAUUUUUUUUACAUAAAUGUUAGGUUAAUUGUAUUAUCGUAAUAUCUAUAUUAAUUUGUUAUUUAAUGAUAGUAUACAGUUUGUAAUACUCUAUAAAUAUUAAUUAUUUUAUUAUUUUACUUUAAUUUACAGAUGUUAGAUAAAUGUGGGUCGGCUUUGAAUUUUUUUUAAAAUAAAUGUUAGGUUUAAUUGUAUUAUCGUAAUAUCUAUAUUAAUUUGUUAUUUUGUGGUAGUUUACAGUUUGUAGAUGAAUCUCGAUCGGUUUUUAGAAAUUUUUAUGUGUAAAAUUUAAGUUUAAAUGUAUUAUUUUUAUAUCACUUUUAUCGUAUUAUUUUGUUGCAAUUUACAGGUGAUAGAUAAAUGUUGGUCCGCUUUGAGAAUUUUUUUAUGUAAAAGUUAGGUUUAGUUGUAUUAUUUUGAUAUCUCUAUUAUUGUAUUACUUUGUUAUUGUUUACAGAUGUUAGGUAAGUGUCGAACGAUUUUGAAAAUUUUUUUGUGUGUAAAGAAUAGAUUUAGUUGUGUUAUUUUGAUAUCUCUAUCAUUAUAUUAUUUUGUUAUAAUUUAUAGAUGGUAGAUGAAUGUCGAUCGGCUUUUAAAAAUAUUUUGGUAAAGAGUAGGUUUAAUAAAUAAAUUCUCCAUCUUUACAUACUUAAAAGAUAUUAGUUUUUUUCUUCAUUUUUUCUUUUGCUUUUUUUGUUUUCUCUUUUUUCUUUCUUUUUUCAAUUUUUUCUUUCUCGUUAUCUUUUUUCCAUUUUGUCUUUUUUUUUCUUUUUCUUUUUAUUUUUUCUCUUUUUUUUUGUUUUUGUACUAAUCAAUUAGAGAAAUACUCCUAAAAUAGUAUAGAAAAAUACUCCUAAAACAGGAUUCCACUAAGUAAAUACUUCUAUAAAUAUUAAGAUUCACGUUAAACUAGAGAAAAAACCAAUUUAAUUAUUGAAAAAAUAUGAUAGAUGCCCAUCUAACUUGAUUCAGUUGCAUGUCUAGAAUCGUGGAUGCUUAAUUUUCUAACUCUCAACUUCUUCACUAUUUUUGUCAACAUAAUAAAAUUCAACAUGUGUGUAUAUAUAUAUAUCUUCUUUGCUUUCAUUCAAGUCAUUCUUUAGUGUCAAAAUUUUUGCUCAGACAAGAAUUAUUUUCAUCAAAACUGAAGUUUUGUGAUCACUAUUGUAUUAUUUUAUUGUAGUUUACAGGUUGUAGAUGAAUUUACAGGUGGUAGAUGAAUGUUGGUCGGCUUUGAGAAUUUUUUUUGGGUGAGGGUUAGGUUUAAUUGCAUUGUUUUUAUAUCUCUGUUUUGCAAAAAUUUUUUGUGUAAAGGUAAAGUUUAGUUGUAUUAUUUUGAUAUCUCUAUUGUCAUAUUAUUUUGUUAUAGUUUACAAUUGAUAGACGAGUGUCAGAAGACUUUGAAUUUUUUUUUGUGUAAAGGUUAGAUUUAAUUAUAUUAUUUUGAUGUCUCUAUCAUCUUAUUGUUUUGUUGAUGUUUAUAGGUGGUAGAUGAAUGUCGAUCGGCUUUGAGAAAUUCUUUUGGUAAAGGCUAGGUUUAAUUAAAUCAAUUCUCCAAAAG